GUUUCCACCCCCGCUCCCCGUUUCCACCCCCGCUCUGCUCUGACAGGUGCAGAUAUCUGAGAACCUGCUGCCUCCUCUGCUCCAGAUUCCUGGGAAACACUGGGAUGGAUUAACUGGCGGAUGUGACAUUUUACCCCAACAUGUUUUCAGUUCAGUUUGUUUUAAUUACUGCAGCCGUACAUCAGACGGGGGUCAGUUAGCCUGACGCUAACUGCUGCUCAGGAGAAAAGAGACUAAAAUCAAAACUAUCAGCCUGCAGCUCUUCUGGGAAUCCCUGACGCCCCGGAGGCCGUUUGGCGGCUCGGGUUGAGGACAGAGGACACAGAGUCUGUCUCUGUCCUGCAGAGACAACGUCGGCCGUCAGUGCUGCUAAAACGCUCUGCGGCUCCGCGGGCUGCGUCUCCAUGGCAACGUAAACAGCCGGACUUCCUUCGCCCUUGGACUUGACACCAGCGGUUCAGGGAUUUAGCUCCGUGCUAAAUCUGUCGGCGACGCCGGAUGAGUCCCAGCAUUCAGCUGGAGCCGGUCCCACUGGACCUCAGAGCAGCGCCUCGGUUUCAACGAUGAAACGGAAACUUUUUACGACCCUACGGAAGCCCAGAGCGGACAUCUCCAGCUUGGCUUUCUCCGGAUGACGAGUUAAAAUUCUCACUCUGAAUUUAACGACACGCAUUUUAGACAUGGAAUCGGGAUCAUUGUGAUCUGCAGAGGAGAACAUUUGUUUACCUGAGAGUAACUUGUUAUCUUGAGAAAACCACCGGGAAAAGGUUUAAGAAGACAACUGGGAAUAAACUCGUUAACUUCAUUAAAAAAACAAAAAUUAAAACAGGAUAAUUUGUUAAAAAUCUAGAAAUUUUCCACUGAUUGCUGUAAUUUAAUGAGAGAAGAAAUGACCAAGCCUGAAGUCUGUUUUUACAGUGGUCUAUUACGAAGGAGUAAAUUUGCGCUGAAAAAAAAUCAGAAAUGUUGAGAUUAAUUUCAGAAAUUUUCUAAAACAAGUUCUGAGUUUGAAAAAGUUUAAAAUUUGGCAGAAUUUUUAUUUAUUUUUUUUUAGAAUUUUAAUGUCAAAAACUGCUAGAUUGGACAAAUUUGUAUCACUUCUGAACCACAUUUGGCCCCUGGACCUCACUUUGGGAACCCCAACUUUACAACAAACAUCUGAGUUUCUUUUUCAGACCUACAAUAAUUUGUUCCUUUUAACUUUGUUUUAUUAAAAUAUUGUAUGUUUACUUUA